AGUGAACGCUGGCGGUAGGCCUAACACAUGCAAGUCGAACGGCAGCACAGUAAGAGCUUGCUCUUACGGGUGGCGAGUGGCGGACGGGUGAGGAAUACAUCGGAAUCUACUUUUUCGUGGGGGAUAACGUAGGGAAACUUACGCUAAUACCGCAUACGACCUACGCGUGAAAGCAGGGGAUCUUCGGACCUUGCGCGAUUGAAUGAGCCGAUGUCGGAUUAGCUAGUUGGCGGGGUAAAGGCCACCAAGGCGACGAUCCGUAGCUGGUCUGAGAGGAUGAUCAGCCACACUGGAACUGAGACACGGUCCAGACUCCUACGGGAGGCAGCAGUGGGGAAUAUUGGACAAUGGGCGCAAGCCUGAUCCAGCCAUACCGCGUGGGUGAAGAAGGCCUUCGGGUUGUAAAGCCCUUUUGUUGGGAAAGAAAAGCAGCAGGUUAAUACCCCGCUGUUCUGACGGUACCCAAAGAAUAAGCACCGGCUAACUUCGUG
rnacentral:rRNA from 1 species